rnacentral:rRNA from 1 species
AACGAACGCUGGCGGCAUGCCUAACACAUGCAAGUCGAACGAGAAAGCGUCGCAAGACGUGAGUAAAGUGGCGGACGGGUGAGUAACGCGUGGGAACCUUCCCUCGGGUACGGAACAACUCAGGGAAACUUGAGCUAAUACCGUAUACGCUCCUUUGCCGUGGAGGCGGAGGAGGAAAGAUUUAUCGCCCCUGGAUGGGCCCGCGUUGGAUUAGCUAGUUGGUGAGGUAACGGCUCACCAAGGCUACGAU